rnacentral:rRNA from 1 species
AUCUAUCCUAUACUGGGGGAUAGCCCGAUGAAAGUUGGAUUAAUACCGCAUAUAGCUAUAUAGUUGCAUGAUUAUGUAGGGAAAGAUUUAUUGGUAUAGGAGGAGUCUGCGGCACAUUAGCUAGUAGGUGAGGUAAAGGCUUACCUAGGCGACGAUGUGUAGCCGGUCUGAGAGGAUGAACGGCCACAAUGGAACUGAGACACGGUCCAUACUCCUACGGGAGGCAGCAGUGGGGAAUAUUGCACAAUGGGGGAAACCCUGAUGCAGCAACGCCGCGUGAGUGAAGAAGGUUUUCGGAUUGUAAAGCUCUGUU